GGCACACAGAGAAAACAUCUAAUGAAAAGAGCAAGGUCAAAAAAGAAAUAAACAUUAUAGAAGAACUUGAUGAAUCACAGCCAACUGUAAUAGCCUCAACAGCUUUUCAAGUGACGUGCCCUAAUUAUAAGGAUAUUUGGGCAUAUGUUGGAAAACCAAGCAGGUCAUAUGAAGAUGGACACAAAAUCUUUGUUUUAUUUAUUUAUUUUAUGUGGUGCUUGCUAAGGAUCGAACCCAGUGCCUCAUGCAUGCAAGGCAAGUGCUCAACCACUAAGCUACAACCCCAGCCCAGAGAACUAAUAUUUUGAUGAGAUAGUCAUUUCAUGAAAAUUCUUGAAAGACUAAUAAGAUAUACCAAAGUACUCAUUUUCUAAUCAGAAUAUUUUAAGGAGUUUUGAAUACCCAAGUUGUUCCUUAAGCAUGAUAAUUUUUGUUUUUGUAAUACAUUAAAUCAUCAUCAUCAUCAUCAUCAUCAUCAUCAUCAUCAUCAUUAUUUGGUACCAUCAUAUGCUUACCCACUGAGCCUCAUCCCCAGCCCUCUUUUGUAUUCUAGUUAGAGAUAGGUUGUACUGAGUUGCUUUGAGCCUUGCUAAGUGGCUGAGGCUGGCUUGAAACUCACAAUCCUCCUGCCUCUGCCUCUUGUGCUGCUGAGAUUACAGGUGUAUGCCACCAUGUGGGGCUCCUGUCUUAUUUGUGGUCAUUGGAGCCAAAAUUUCACUUUUGGAAACUUACCUGAAUAUUUUAUGAAACCUAUAUUUUUAGUGUUCUUCAGUACAUUUCAAUUGUGUGACUGUACAAACCACAAAGGAGCAAAAAAUAAAGUAAUAAUUGUCAAAUUAAGCACAGUGAUUCAGCUUCAUACUAAUUCAGCAGGAAUGUAUGUUUGGUUUUGUCCCAUACAUUCUGAUUAUAUCCCUUUUCUUUUUAGUAUCAUGAGAUACAUGCUUACUGGGAGGUUAAGUGCACUUGUUACUUUUAUUGAAUUAUUAACUGCAUGUUGUGUAUAUUCAUAUUUAACAACU